rnacentral:misc_RNA from 1 species
AUUUGACAAGCACAAUUUUAAAUUUCAACAAUCGAAGGAACAUAUUAGUCUAAUGGGGGUAACAGCCACGAAUACAGAAUUCUCUUCGGUCGCAAAUCAUAGUCUUAAUAGGUUUUUCACAACUGCAAACAGACGACACCACAACUUAUUUCUUAAAAAGUACAAAAAUAGAGACAAUAAAGCAUUCAAUAGAGAUGAAACAUGGCACAGUGCCGGGGAUUCCACCCCAUGAAUGUUACUGAAGCUCAAGUUUUUUGAUUGCUUCGAUUUGCUGCGCUGGAUUCAGUCCCUUGGGGCAGGCAUGAGCACAGUUCUUUAUCGUGUGGCAGCGAUAUAGCUUGAACUCAUCAUUAAUGGCAUCCAGCCGCUCCUUUGUGUACUGAUCACGGCUAUCCUGAAUCCAUCUGUUAGCAUGGAGGAGAGCAGCUGGGCCGAGGUAAGUCUCGGGGUUCCACCAGUAACUUGGGCAAGACGUGCUGCAACAGGCACAGAGAAUACACUCGUACAUCCCAUCAAGCUUAGCCCGGUCCUUCUUACUCUGCAAGAUCUCCUUCCCAUCAGUCGGUGCUGCCUCCUUCCUCUUCAGCCACGGCUCCACACUCUUAUACUGAUUGUAGAAAUUAGU